UCUUUCAGCUGGAGGUUUUGAUGGAAGGUGUCCCUUCCUCUUAUCUUUUUCACGCCUUCCCUGUCGUCGACGUUUUGAAGGUGUUAGGCAGAACGACCCAGAUGCUCCGGUGGCUCACAACGGGCCAGUGCAGGCGGUCGAGGGAAGAGCUGGAGUCCAAGAAAACGCGCGAUGGGUUACGAUUCCACUGGAAGAGAUCGGGGACCCAAAUCCUCCAGGAGAUGUCAACGUGUGAAGCAGGGACAUCUGUAGUCUUUAUGUCCAGUCUUCGGCCAGUCUCCGAUUCCACUGUCGCAGACUAAUGUCCAAUAUAAUAAUGAAAUCCUGAGAGUCUUGCUAGAGUCGGAGCGCUCCCGUCGUCUCCAUCGUUUGGUGUAAGGUCAUAAAACUCACUCCCAGUCAGUCUUUUUCCCGUCUGGACACUCAGACAAAAUCAAAAGUUUUUAAUUUAAAGUAAUUUUUAAGUCUUAGUAGUGAAGUUAAAUCAUGUGAACAUUGUCAACAACCAAUGGGUGCUCUCCCUCCAGCACCAAACAGGAAGCAACAAACCGGCUAGGGCCAGUGGUGUUUAUGGUUGCUAUGCUAAAUGCUAAAGAGGGAAAGUUGCUGAUUUUCAGCCCCUUCUGAAGCAGUCAUCCAACAGGAGUUUUACCGGCAGAUUAACACAGACCUCCGGGUACUGGAGACAUUCAUCUGCAUGUACAACAGAACAGAAAAUCAGCAGACUUUCCCCUAAAUUUACGAGCUAGCGGUAGCUAGCUAGCUUGGUUAAAUUUUUCAAAACAAAUCUAGUUGUAGUCUUGCAAUGUGGGACCCUGCAAGAUCCCCAGUCUUUACCUAUUAUGUCUUUAAAGUGGUGAUAGAAUGCAAAACCGAGUUUACCUUGUCAUAGUUGAAUUACGACAGUUCGCUGGGUGAAAUGGAAAUAUAUAGAACCUCAAAGUCCCAAUGACACCUACUUCCUCUGCAAAUCUCACAAUUUGAAACUGCCACUGAUAAAGGGCGAAUCUCAAAAGCUAAAAGCUAAAAGUUUACGUCAACUCAGUGGCUGUACCAUAUUUGGCUCUAGUUUGUACCUUUGUCACGCCCCAAGAUUUAUAUACAGACCACUGGUCUGAGACCAGCUGGUGCUGUGAAUGUAGGUCGCGCAGAUCUCAGAAACUUUAUACCCUGUUCUUCUGCUAUUUCAUUACUAAAUUCACUUCUGAGACUUUUUAAUGCAAUAAAUCAACUAUGUAGAGCUCAAAUAUGGGCCGUUUUACGAAAAUUGAUGGCUAUUUGCAAAUUUGGUCCGACCGCGUCAGAGUUCAGAAGCUCCACAGUCCGGUGCCUGCUGGGGUCGCUGGCUUGCCACCCAGCCUGUCCACCUUCACAGACCCCGCUGUGAGCUGGCGGGAGCUCUAUCAGGAGACUUGCGGACAAGAGCGUUUAGUGAAGUUUAGUGGUUUUUCGAAAUUUAUAAUGCUUCACAAGAGAUGGCGGGCGUAACAAGCUGCUGACCGCGGCCACGGAGCAGGCAAAGGAGAGGGAGAGCAGCGACUGAAAGGGCAGAAAGAUACCCGUCUCUCUUUGACAGUCUUAUAAAUAAAUUAUAACAUGUAUAUUAGAGCUGUCAGUCUUCCUCUAUAAUACCAUUCAAAUUUUUUUUUAUAUUCG
rnacentral:lncRNA from 1 species